AACGAAGUAAAAAUCGGGGAGUUAUAGAAGAAGUAUCGAAAAUACAUUUAUUUAACAAAAGGACCGUCGAUACUUCGUCAAAAACUAUACACAUAUACAAAAAUCUUUACAUUAACAAAAGGUCACUUUGAUAUUAGUAUUAAUAUCUAUUGAUAAUCAAAUAAUAUCUAUGAUCUAUCAUACAAAUUGUCUCCUUUAAAAUAUGCAGGGAUAUCUUUAUUCUAUUAACAGGAUUGUAUUUCGGGCUACACCCCUCAGUCUACUGAAGGGCAUAGUUCGAAAUAUUUCCCUGUUCAUAGAAUAGAAAUGUCCUUUUUUUAAAGAAAUGCAGCGUUUCCUGGUAGGAUAGUUCCUAGAAAAUACAAUUUCAUUAUCGCAGAACCAUCAAAACCCAAGAUAAGCAAAUAUAAAAACUGUAAUAUCUAUUUUUAAAAUAUCAGUCAUGCAUUUAUUUAUACACCAUUGUCGGAAAUACUACAUCUAACGUACAAAACAGAGAUGUUUGAACGUAAUAAAUAGAUAUCUUUAUUAUUUUAUGAUUUCUUCGAGUGAGAUACGAAUCCAAAAGGAAGAAAACAGGGAAAUUAUUAUAUCAGAAUCUCAGUUAAAUAAAGUCCUGAACAGGCAAUUUUAACUUCUCAUUACAUAUUGUGAAAAUUCGAAAGUACUGUUUAUGCCUUAUCCAAUCGAAAGCAUCAGACAAUUCGUUACUUAUGUAAAGACGGACGAUAAGUUGCGGUAAAUGACAUUCGAAGGAUUCGUCCGAUGUCGGACUUUAUCGUUUUUAUCGUCCAACAACCGGACGAAUCAUUUCGAAUGUACAGUACAUGGAAAAUUCAAAAAGACAGUAAUGAAUGGUUUGGGGUAUGAGCCUCAUCGUAACCUUCACUCGUCAUUAUAUGUAAUUUUGUUUCUUUAUCUUUCGGUGUUGUUAGAGACGUUGUUGGAAUUUUUAAUGAAAUCGUACUUCAAAGAUUGCACAAAUUUAAACUGUGACCAUCUACAUAGCAUAACUAGAGGAUAAUUACAGAACGAUUCCGUAGCCGUAGUUCUGUUUUUUACCACGAGAUGUCGCUACUUCGUGGGUCAAAUAGCUCGACAAGCGUAAUUCUAAUUUACUAUAUGUUGUGACGCCACUGAACCACGUGUCAGAACGCAAUCCCUCAGACUGUGAGCAAUUUUAAGAUGAAAUUUAAUAAAUGAAUUAUUUAUAGAUGAGAUUUUUAUGAGAAACGAAUCCAGAGUUAUGAAAGAUGACUUCUCAGCUCUGCCAGGUGAGAUAAGUGUGCUCCAAGGGAGAUUACCGGGCAUAUUUUAUCUCUUAUUUUUGGCUGAUUCUAUUCUACUAAGUUAACAAAAGUGUCAGUACAAAUCAUGUGUCCUAUAGAACUUUCAAUCAAUAAUAAUUGUAUCGAAUAAAAAUUGAUUCAAAUAUUUUAAAUUUUCUGCUCAUUUAGAGUUUACUAUUAGACUUAAUUUGCUGAAUUUGGUUAAUAAA